rfam:Paenibacillus sp. DMB20 mira_3, whole genome shotgun sequence.
UAAAGUUGAAUAUGCUUACCGUAGACAGUAGGUGCCGUUAGCUGGCUUAAUUUCCUACCGAGGUGUUAUGAUAGAACGUCAGCAGUUUGUCCGGACUUGUCCGGCUAAAAUGAUGAUUCAUCAGGCCUUCGUGAUUCUACGGAGGCUUUUUUAGUGCCCGU